UCCCUUCCGGCUAUCUUGUGCAAGUAC
rnacentral:sRNA from 1 species